rnacentral:rRNA from 1 species
UACGUAGGGGGCUAGCGUUGUCCGGAAUCAUUGGGCGUAAAGCGCGUGUAGGCGGCCCGGUAAGUCCGCUGUGAAAGUCGGGGGCUCAACCCUCGAAAGCCGGUGGAUACUGUCGGGCUCGAGUACGGAAGAGGCGAGUGGAAUUCCUGGUGUAGCGGUGAAAUGCGCAGAUAUCAGGAGGAACACCGGUGGCGAAGGCGGGUCUCUGGGCCGAUGACUGACGCUGAGGAGCGAAAGCGUGGGGAGCGAACAGG